AUCAUCAAAAUCAAAGGUCAACAGUAGGGGUAUGUGGUCUAUGGUGAACCGGACUAGUGGGGUGAGGCUACAUAGAGGAUAUCUGUUGAACCAGUGGAAGGAGAUGAAGCAUCGAUCCAGUCUUGCCAAUGAGGAUUUUUUUCUGAAGUUAGACCAUGUAAAGUUUCUGUUCGAGAGUCUGAGUUUUAUCAGUGCCUAUGAGUUGAUGAAGUUGUUGAAGAGUCUUGAGCUUGGUUUUGAUUUAGAUACCCCUUUCCAUUCUGAAGAAAAUCGUACUGCACUAAAGUCUCCAAUCAAUAUCUAUGGGGGAUUGUUAUCUUCUCUCAAUUUCCUAAGUUCUACAAAUAACCUCAGACGUUCUUGUUGAGUAUGUGGGCCGUAGAUGUUGGAGAGCA
rnacentral:lncRNA from 1 species